AGAGUUUGAUCCUGGCUCAGGAUUAACGCUGGCGGCGUGCCUAACACAUGCAAGUCGAACGGACGAACUUUGUGGACAUUCCAUGGUAAAACGUGGGUUGUCCCUCAUAGUUCGUUAGUGGCGGACGGGUGAGUAACACGUUGGUACCUACCCCGAAGUGGGGAAUAACUGGCCGAAAGGUCAGCUAAUACCGCAUAAUAUCGCAAGAUUAAAGCAGUAAUGCGCUUCGGGAGGGGCCUGCGUCUGAUUAGCUAGUUGGUAGUGUAAUGGACUACCAAGGCGACGAUCAGUAGCUGGAUCGAGAGGUUGACCGGCCACACUGGGACUGAGAUACGGCCCAGACUCCUACGGGAGGCAGCAGUGAGGAAUCUUCCACAAUGGACGAAAGUCUGAUGGAGCAACGCCGCGUGCAGGAUGACGGCCUUCGGGUUGUAAACUGCUUUUAUUUGGGAAGAUUAUGACGGUACCAAAUGAAUAAGGACCGGCUAACUACGUGCCAGCAGCCGCGGUAAUACGUAGGGUCCAAGCGUUAUCCGGAAUCACUGGGCGUAAAGCGUGUGUAGGCGGAAAUUUGCGUGUAAUGCGAAAUCCGGUGGCUCAACCACCUGGACUGUAUUGCAUACGGGAUUUCUGGAGGUCGGCAGAGGCAAGUGGAAUUACUAGUGUAGCAGUGAAAUGCGUAGAGAUUAGUAGGAACACCAAUGGCGAAGGCAGCUUGCUGGGCCGCACCUGACGCUGAGACACGAAAGCGUGGGGAGCGAACAGGAUUAGAUACCCCGGUAGUCC
rnacentral:rRNA from 1 species